GAUGAACGCUGGCGGCGUGCCUAAUACAUGCAAGUCGAGCGAACGGACGAGAAGCUUGCUUCUCUGAUGUUAGCGGCGGACGGGUGAGUAACACGUGGAUAACCUACCUAUAAGACUGGGAUAACUUCGGGAAACCGGAGCUAAUACCGGAUAAUAUUUUGAACCGCAUGGUUCAAAAGUGAAAGACGGUCUUGCUGUCACUUAUAGAUGGAUCCGCGCUGCAUUAGCUAGUUGGUAAGGUAACGGCUUACCAAGGCAACGAUGCAUAGCCGACCUGAGAGGGUGAUCGGCCACACUGGAACUGAGACACGGUCCAGACUCCUACGGGAGGCAGCAGUAGGGAAUCUUCCGCAAUGGGCGAAAGCCUGACGGAGCAACGCCGCGUGAGUGAUGAAGGUCUUCGGAUCGUAAAACUCUGUUAUUAGGGAAGAACAUAUGUGUAAGUAACUGUGCACAUCUUGACGGUACCUAAUCAGAAAGCCACGGCUAACUACGUGCCAGCAGCCGCGGUAAUACGUAGGUGGCAAGCGUUAUCCGGAAUUAUUGGGCGUAAAGCGCGCGUAGGCGGUUUUUUAAGUCUGAUGUGAAAGCCCACGGCUCAACCGUGGAGGGUCAUUGGAAACUGGAAAACUUGAGUGCAGAAGAGGAAAGUGGAAUUCCAUGUGUAGCGGUGAAAUGCGCAGAGAUAUGGAGGAACACCAGUGGCGAAGGCGACUUUCUGGUCUGUAACUGACGCUGAUGUGCGAAAGCGUGGGGAUCAAACAGGAUUAGAUACCCUGGUAGUCUACGCCGUAAACGAUGAGUGCUAAGUGUUAGGGGGUUUCCGCCCCUUAGUGCUGCAGCUAACGCAUUAAGCACUCCGCCUGGGGAGUACGACCGCAAGGUUGAAACUCAAAGGAAUUGACGGGGACCCGCACAAGCGGUGGAGCAUGUGGUUUAAUUCGAAGCAACGCGAAGAACCUUACCAAAUCUUGACAUCCUUUGACAACUCUAGAGAUAGAGCCUUCCCCUUCGGGGGACAAAGUGACAGGUGGUGCAUGGUUGUCGUCAGCUCGUGUCGUGAGAUGUUGGGUUAAGUCCCGCAACGAGCGCAACCCUUAAGCUUAGUUGCCAUCAUUAAGUUGGGCACUCUAAGUUGACUGCCGGUGACAAACCGGAGGAAGGUGGGGAUGACGUCAAAUCAUCAUGCCCCUUAUGAUUUGGGCUACACACGUGCUACAAAGGACAAUACAAAGGGCAGCGAAACCGCGAGGUCAAGCAAAUCCCAUAAAGUUGUUCUCAGUUCGGAUUGUAGUCUGCAACUCGACUACAUGAAGCUGGAAUCGCUAGUAAUCGUAGAUCAGCAUGCUACGGUGAAUACGUUCCCGGGUCU
rnacentral:rRNA from 1 species